GAUGAACGCUGGCGGCGUGCCUAAUACAUGCAAGUAGAACGCUGAAGGAGGAGCUUGCUCUUCUGGAUGAGUUGCGAACGGGUGAGUAACGCGUAGGUAACCUGCCUGGUAGCGGGGGAUAACUAUUGGAAACGAUAGCUAAUACCGCAUGACAACAGUUAUUGCAUGAUAACUGUUUAAAAGGGGCAACUGCUCCACUACCAGAUGGACCUGCGUUGUAUUAGCUAGUUGGUGAGGUAACGGCUCACCAAGGCGACGAUACAUAGCCGACCUGAGAGGGUGAGCGGCCACACUGGGACUGAGACACGGCCCAGACUCCUACGGGAGGCAGCAGUAGGGAAUCUUCGGCAAUGGACGGAAGUCUGACCGAGCAACGCCGAGUGAGUGAAGAAGGGUUUCGGAUCGUAAAGCUCUGUUGUAAGAGAAGAACGAGUGUGAGAGUGGAAAGUUCACACUGUGACGGUAUCUGACCAGAAAGGGACGGCUAACUACGUG
rnacentral:rRNA from 1 species